CACGGUCUCCACUACCCGAGGUGCCCUGGGGCGGCACACUUCGUCGGGUACAGCGACAGCGACCACGCUGGCGACAUCGACACCAGCAAGAGUACGAGCGGGAUCCUCUUCUUCCUCGGCGAGUGCCCCAUUAGCUGGCAGUCGAUCAAGUAGCAGGUGGUGGCCUUGUCCAGCUGCGAGGCCGAGUACAUAGCGGCCUCCACCGCGUCGACUCAGGCGCUCUGGCUCACUCGACUGCUUGGUGAUCUACUCGGCAGAGACACUGGAGCAGUGCAGCUCAGGGUGGAUAGCAAGUCCGCUCUGGCCUUGGCGAAGAACCCCGUUUUCCACGAACGGAGCAAGCACAUCCGGGUGAGGUAUCACUUCAUCCGAGGCUGCUUGGAGGAAGGAUGCAUCAAGGCGAGCUACAUCAACACCAAGGAUCAGCUUGCGGAUCUGCUCACCAAGCCCCUUGGGAGGAUCAAGUUCCUUGAGCUUUGCUCCAGGACUGGGAUGGUCCAAUCUUCCCACAAGACGACGCACAAGACUUAGGGGGAGAAUGAUGGAUAAGUCUUUGCUGUUGGUCUUUGUGGUCCCUUGUACCCCUGCAGCAUCUUGUAGUCCUUAGCAUCUUGGACUGCAGCAUCUUGGACUGCAGGACAACAGUUAGUGUCCUCUCUAGGACAGCAGUUAGUGUCCUCUCUAGGACAACGGUUAGACUAGUGUUAGACUAGCAUUAUUGGCUUCGUUUGCUGCCCAGCAGCCUGCUGUAUAUAUAUGUGGCCACCCCUCCCGUUGGAAGGCAUGGCAUUGUGAGUGUGAAUGAAGAAAAAACCCAGAAAACUUCCCCAACUUGAGUAUCAUCCUCUCAGCUCAAUGAGAGUGAAAAUUGAGCUUCUAACACGUACUCCUCGGAGUACUCCCCCGCGAGCCCUAGCCCACCAUGCUACCGUGUGGUCGGGGUCAAGGUCGGUGCGGGGAAGGUGCAGUGCCCACCCUUGGAUCGUGGCGAGGUGGAGUCAGUGGACUCCGUACUAGACUCAGUGUUGUGCUUCAUCAAGCCACCACCGAUAUGUGUCCCUCCAGAGAUCCACGACUACACUAACAACGAUGACGAUGAGGAGCCGGAGGGCUCCGACAUUGCUGCCCUCCGUUAGCAUCUUGCCGCACUGCGGCUACGCCUCAACAACAUGGAUGAGCGUGUGGCCAAGUUAGAGAUUGAUCGGAUGGAGCUAGGGGAUAGGGUGGAUACCCUUCGUAAGGCCGUUUGUUCCAAGAUCAAAUGCCUUGCGAAGGCGACCGGGAAUGAGGAUCUCUAUAGAACCCUGGACCCGAAGUAGGGUGCUGUUUUUUUCCUUCCAAAUUUGUUUUUUAAUUUAUUUCACUCAAUUAUAAUCAGCAGCACCUAUUUUUGAAUUCAAUAAAAUAAAAAGAGUUUUGUUUCUCCCUUGUGUCACUUGUGGUUGGUGCACAUUUGUGUGCCAACCACACCCCUGUUCUCACACUUUACCAAAUGCACAUAAAUUUUGAAUGAGAAGAACGUUGCCAAGCUUCCAGAGAAGUUUGAGUAAAUUUGGAGCCGAACUCAAGCCGGGCGGCCUACACCAAGCCGGCCGGCCUACUAAUUUUGCCAAAACGACCAAGGCAAGUUUUGUCAAGAACCUGAAGCUGAGCCUGCAUGACUGAGAAAUGGACCCUGUGGUCUGGCCACAGGUGUAGGCCUACCGACCUCUCCUAGGCCGGCCGGCCCCACUUGUCGGCCAAACCCCGAGCUGCUUCGCUUGAUGACGGUUUGCAACCUCUUUUCCCCCUUUCUUUCUGAUUUUUGUUCAAACUCGUUCUGAAUAAAUUCAUCUGAAAUUGUGAAUGGAAAACCUAGAAAGAGAUGAGAUCUUUUCAUGAGUAUCCAGUCCUUGUUAAGUUUUGUUUCUUGUGCAAUUACCUAAGUGCCUUUGGAACUCCUGAUUAGGCUCACUUGAUCUUUUGCCUAUUGAUCUUUAUGAUAUAAUGACAUGAGAGCCAUGUUUGUUCCCAAUUCAAGGUCUUGGAAGAAUUUUAUUUUGAAAAAAAAAACAAGGCAAUCCUCAUGCUCAACUUUACCAAAGUCCCAUCCAAAGCCAUAUAAAUAUACAUAUAGUUCGAACCUAUAGCUAUUCUCUUCAUUUUGAGCUUGUUCAAACAUCAGUGCCUCUUGAGUAUGUUUUGAUCAUUCAUUCACUUGGGUCAUUCACGUACACGAUUAUCAUCCAAAAGUCCAUCAACUGUGGUCUUAGAUCAGCUCUUCAUCCCCCUGAAAAAGAAGAAAAAGAAUGAACGACAUUCAUGCUAGUUCAGUAAAAAAAGAGAGAGAGGGGAAAGAUGAAAGAUGCUUGAGUUCAAAACCACCAAGGGUCAUGUAUCUCUACACACUCUUCACUUGACUUGAGUUCAUGAAUGGCACAACGACUUAGAGACAUAGUGUUUGAACUUGCAAAAUAAAUGUUGAAGAUAUGCAACCAUCCCUACCUUGAGCUCUACAUAUUGCCUUUAUAGGUAGGAGAGGCUUCAUAAAAAAUCUUGGUGAGGAUCAAACCAGAUGAGUGACUGGCCUGAGCAAUGAAGAGUGUGCCUUGAUUUCUGAAAAUCAUGAAAACCUUCCAAGUACUGCGAAACAGGACUUGUCAUGACCUUCAUUGUUUUAUUCUGAGGAUCAACAAGUGAACAUGACGGUGUUAGCCACCUGGAAUCUAAGGACAUGAUGAGGACAUCAACACCAACGAUACAUCCAUGCCGACACAAGUACCUAUUGCUGGUCCUAUUACUCGCGCUCCUAUUGCUGGUCUUAUUACUCGCGCUCGUGCUCAUCAACUUAAUCAUCAGGUGAGUUCACAUUUGAGUUCAUGUGCAUCAAAUUUAGACCAUGGAGACGCGUGCACUCUUAUUUUGCUUAGGAACCAAGGAGACGACCGAAAGGGAAAUGGAUUCGCGCAGGCUGGAUUCGGAUUGCAGAACAACACCAACUUGUGAUGGUCACCACGGUCGCAUACGAACUCGGAUUGGGGCGUUCAAGUACUUCGUGGAAAGCUUAAGAAGUCUUCUCUCAAAUGGAUCUGGAUUCAUAUCAAUAUCUGUUACGAGUCAGCCGAAAUCGUGGAGUUAAUAAAAGUCCUUUUCUGCCCACGGUGCUGCGUCGCCCUAUUUUGGCCCCAUGGGCCGUGUAUCAAGUUGAGUCCAUUACAGGCGCGUCCUAGGGUUGGAGUAUGAUCCUAACACCCCUGUGGUCAUCCUCCCACGUCCUUAUACCCCUUAGCCGCUGCCAAGAACAGAUUGGGUUUUGUUUAGAUCAAGUUUAGCCUUUGCUAAUUGCUUGUAAGCGCGCGUGCUGGUCCAGCCGCCCGUCUUUGAGUCUUCGGAACCCGACUUCAUUUGUGAUUGAGUUUGAGAUUGAAACCUUUUGUUCCCAUCUAGUAAAUUCAGUACUUGUUUGAUA